AGUGAACGCUGGCGGUAGGCCUAACACAUGCAAGUCGAACGGCAGCACAGGAGAGCUUGCUCUCUGGGUGGCGAGUGGCGGACGGGUGAGGAGUACAUCGGAAUCUACUCUGUCGUGGGGGAUAACGUAGGGAAACUUACGCUAAUACCGCAUACGACCUACGGGUGAAAGCAGGGGAUCUUCGGACCUUGCGCGAUUGAAUGAGCCGAUGUCGGAUGAGCUAGUAGGCAGGGUAAAGGCCCACCAAGGCGACGAUCCGUAGCUGGUCUGAGAGGAUGAUCAGCCACACUGGAACUGAGACACGGUCCAGACUCCUACGGGAGGCAGCAGUGGGGAAUAUUGGACAAUGGGCGCAAGCCUGAUCCAGCCAUACCGCGUGGGUGAAGAAGGCCUUCGGGUUGUAAAGCCCUUUUGUUGGGAAAGAAAUCCAGCUGGCUAAUACCCGGUUGGGAUGACGGUACCCAAAGAAUAAGCACCGGCUAACUUCGUGCCAGCCGCCGCCGUAA
rnacentral:rRNA from 1 species